CCGCGUGUGUGAAGAAGGCCUUCGGGUUGUAAAGCACUUUAAGCGAGGAGGUAAGGUUUUUAGUUAAUACACUAAGAAUUGACGUUACUCGCAGAAUAAGCACCGGCUAACUCUGUGCCAGCAGCCGCGGUAAUACAGAGGGUGCAAGCGUUAAUCGGAAUUACUGGGCGUAAAGCGCGCGUAGGCGGUUUGUUAAGUCGGAUGUGAAAUCCCUGGGCUCAACCUAGGCACUGCAUCCGAUACUGGCUAACUAGAGUGUGGGAGAGGAAGGUAGAAUUCCAGGUGUAGCGGUGAAAUGCGUAGAGAUCUGGAGGAAUACCGAUGGCGAAGGCAGCCUUCUGGCCUAACACUGACGCUGAGGUGCGAAAGCAUGGGGAGCAAACAGGAUUAGAUACCCUGGUAGUCCAUGCUGUAAACGAUGUCAACUAGCCGUUGGGGACCUUGAGUCUUUAGUGGCGCAGCUAACGCGAUAAGUUGACCGCCUGGGGAGUACGGUCGCAAGACUAAAACUCAAAUGAAUUGACGGGGG
rnacentral:rRNA from 1 species